GAUGAACGCUAGCGACAGGCCUAACACAUGCAAGUCGAGGGGCAGCGAAGAGGUAGCAAUACCUCUGUCGGCGACCGGCGCACGGGUGAGUAACACGUAUGCAAUCCACCUGUAACAGGGGGAUAACCCGGAGAAAUCCGGACUAAUACCCCAUAAUAUGGGCGCUCCGCAUGGAGGGCUCAUUAAAGAAAGCAAUUUUGGUUACAGACGAGCAUGCGCUCCAUUAGCCAGUUGGCGGGGUAACGGCCCACCAAGGCGACGAUCAGUAGGGGUUCUGAGAGGAAGGUCCCCCACAUUGGAACUGAGACACGGUCCAAACUCCUACGGGAGGCAGCAGUGAGGAAUAUUGGUCAAUGGACGAGGGUCUGAACCAGCCAAGUAGCGUGCAGGAUGACGGCCCUAUGGGUUGUAAACUGCUUUUAUAAGGGAAUAAAGUGAGUCUCGUGAGGCUUUUGCAUGUACCUUAUGAAUAAGGACCGGCUAAUUCCGUGCCAGCAGCCG
rnacentral:rRNA from 1 species